rnacentral:rRNA from 1 species
UACGGAGGGUGCAAGCGUUAAUCGGAUUUAUUGGGCGUAAAGGGCGCGUAGGCUGAUGAAUAAGUCGGGUGUGAAAUCCUGGGGCUUAACCCCAGGGCUGCACCUGAAACUGUUUGUCUAGAGGGUAGGCGGAGAAAACGGAAUUCCACAAGUAGCGGUGAAAUGCGUAGAUAUGUGGAAGAACACCGGUGGCGAAGGCGGUUUUCUAGCUUACUCCUGACGCUGAGGCGCGAAAGUUAGGGGAUCAAACAGG